UCAUUGUUAAUUUCUAUCUUGUCCUGAGUUCUAAAGGUUUCCUACGGCCUGGAUGUGCGUGAACUUUCAGAUUUCGCUCUCUGUGGAAACUCCUGGCCUUGUCACCACUGUGCCACUAGGCUCCCUCGUGAAGCAGGUCUAGCCUUGCAAGGAGAUAUUUUCAAAGUAACCAGAGUUUUCGGCCCCAGAGCAGAGAAUGAUCACCAUAACACAGGCAGCGUCCAUCCCUAGCCCCUGCUGACCAAAUGGCAUGCAGGAGAAAUGAGGUGGCUGGAAGAUGUCUCCGUGGAAUAGAGGUUCCUAGACUCAUGAACCUUAGGGAGGAAGAAACAAAUGGCUCUCUCCUUGGGGAACUUUCUCACUCUUCUCCGGCACCGCUCCUGCCUUUCCAGAGAAUGGGGUCUGCUUGUUUGCAAAUCCAGAGUACCAACUGGGUCAACCGAUGGAUCUUUGUGGAACUCCUCUGAUAAGCCUACAGUGGUUCAAGCACCGUACAGGCAGACUGAAGACAGAAAGAAGUGUGAGUCACAGAGUCUCUUCCAAAUUUCAGACCUGUGGCAGCUUCCCAGAGGCUGGAGUAGACCAGAAGAGAAUGACUAAGGCAUGAUGUUCUGGGAGUUACAGUCCUGGCACGUAAUUGUGAAUAUGGCACAAAAUGAGGCGGUGGGUGUCCAGACUGCACCUAACAAUGGGAGCCUGAGAGCAAAUGGCUGGAAGGUCAGGAAGGCAGGAGACUGUCAGUAGCAAGAGCAGGUCUGGGGUGACGUUGGCUCCUUGAGAAAUGAAAACUUCAUCAUAAGAAUCUGUGAAAAUGGGGAAAAUGGGUAAAUGAGGACAGAUUCAAAAUUGGAAGAAAACAGAAAAAUCUCUGUUCUUUUUUUCUAAUUGUUCUUUUAAUGAAAUCAGUACUGCCCUUUGGCAUUAACGA
rnacentral:lncRNA from 1 species